rnacentral:lncRNA from 1 species
UACAACGGUAGUCCCUAACUGGUCGUUAAGAGAGGAAAUAGAUUCCAGUAUCUAAAUUAUCUACACUAACCACCUAAUCUACCCUAAACUAAUCAAAUUAGAGAGGAAAUAGCAAGGCACGUGUUUUUAUUUAACAAGAAAAUAGCAAGGCCCGCAUUUUCCGGUUACGAGGUCUUUACGACGAUUUCUGCUUACGUGGAAUAACGAGUCCCGCGUUCUUCAUUUUUUAAUUUCGUCGUUAUUUUACGAGGAAAUUACGAGGAUUAUGUUUAAAUCCCAAAAAUCCGAAAUCCCAAACCCCAUCUUCCUUAUCUUCUACUUCAUAUAUUCCAAACCCCAAACUCAUCUUCCCUUUAACCUCAAUCUAUUCUUUCCAUUCCAAACCCCCAAAU